rnacentral:rRNA from 1 species
UACGUAGGGUGCGAGCGUUAAUCGGAAUUACUGGGCGUAAAGCGUGCGCAGGCGGUUCGCAAAGUCUGACGUGAAAGCCCCGGGCUCAACCUGGGAACUGCAUUGGAAACUAACGGGCUCGAGUGUGGCAGAGGGGGGUGGAAUUCCACGUGUAGCAGUGAAAUGCGUAGAGAUGUGGAGGAACACCGAUGGCGAAGGCAGCCCCCUGGGCUAACACUGACGCUCAGGCACGAAAGCGUGGGGAGCAAACAGG